AAGCGGUGGAGUAUGUUGUUUAAUUCGAAGAUACACGAAGAACCUUUACCAGGUCUUGACAUACCAUUGACAGGCGCAGAGAUGUGCUCUCCUUCGGGCAAUGGAUACAGGUGGUGCAUGGUUGUCGUCAGCUCGUGCCGUGAGGUGUUGGGUUAAGUCCCGCAACGAGCGCAACCCUCAUUGUUAGUUACUACCAUUCAGUUGAGGACUCUAAUGAGACUGCCAACGAUAAGUUGGAGGAAGGUGGGGAUGACGUCAAAUCAUCAUGCCCUUUAUGACCUGGGCUACAAACGUACUACAAUGGCCAAUACAAAGAGAUGCGAAGCGGUGACGUGGAGCGAACCUCAGAAAGUUGGUCUCAGUUCAGAUUGAAGUCUGCAACUCGACUUCAUGAAGGCGGAAUCGCUAGUAAUCGCGGGUCAGCAGACCGCGGUGAAUACGUUCCCGGGUUUU
rnacentral:rRNA from 1 species